UGGCUAUUCUUGGCGCGUAGGGUCUGGCUCUUCUUCUUUCUGGUUCAGCCUUUGGAGUGAUUUUGGCAUUCUUGGAUCUCAAAUCCCCAUCAUAGACAUCCAUGAUCUUCAUCUCAUUGUUAAAGACGUUCUCACCUUAAGUGGUAAUAGAGCUCAAUUGAUGUAUACCACUCUCCCUCAAGCUGUGUCCGAUUUCUUCAACAAUGCCACAAUUAUGUUUAAUGACGCAAUAGAGGAUGCUUUUGUUUGGCCUCUCAACAAGAAUGGAGUCUAUACCACCAAAAGUGGUUACAAAUGGCUUCUCUCUCUUCCUGGUUCGAACAAUAAUACCAACUUGAAUUCUUCUUGGUCCUGGAUUUGG
rnacentral:lncRNA from 1 species